rnacentral:lncRNA from 1 species
UCUGAAUCCCCCUUCUCUCUCAUUCUUCUCUCAAUCGUCUCUCGAACCCUAGCCGCUGCCCUCAACUACCACCCUAAAAUCACCCAAAUCAAUGGAUUCCAAAGUCAUCAGAGGCAUGUAUCUUUCACCCUUGGUUUCUAUGUUUUCGUUUAUCAUGAUUUCAAGGCUUGAUCCUAGGAAAUCUUGGUCCAGACCUUGGUCGAUUUCAGUUUAAGGUUGUUCUGCGGUAUCACUGACCUCUCUUUGACCAGCCAUGGCUAUAUGAGCCUGACUCUUGGCUCUCCUACUUAGAUCGAUGGUUUUCCAAGCCCUUUUCACCAUUUAGGGUUCUUCUGAAACCCUAACCAUUAAGUUUCUCUCUGAUUUCUUUUAGAUCUAUUUUAGAUCUGUGUUUCCUCUAAACUUCUAAAAGUUUUUUCUCAAAGAUUCUUCUAGAAUUCUACCUUCAAAGCCCUUACCUUUUCCGAUUAGGAUUUCUGUUAAGCUAUUUGACAUGUUUUGUUGUGUUUUUUUAAUGUCUUUCUUAUACUGUAGUUUGCAUGUUAACUGCCUUUAUUUCUUUUGAGAUUUCUGAAUCUUUUUUUAGCAUUUGUCUGAUGCAUUUGUUUUUCAUCUCUAGACACGAUUAGUGUGGAAAACCCUAAAAUUUAGAGUUCAUUCGAGUUUUGAGACUAUUUGCUGUCUGAUUUACUUGUUCAUCAUCUCUGAAUUCGAUUGGUUUCAAAACCUUAAUUCCUUUGGGCCUAUUCGAGCUUCUGAAAACUAUUUCAACUUUUUGAAGUUGCUCGAUUGGAUUCAAAGUCCUUUUUGUUUCAGCUUCUAUUUCUCUAUGUGAUUUGGUUUCUUGCAAUCAUUGAAACUAGACUAUACUUUUCAGAA